rfam:Dorea longicatena CAG:42 genomic scaffold, scf197
GCAGUACAAACUGAUCAGGCUACAUUCAUUUUCAAAAAGAUGAUGUUAAGAAAAUGAUGUGCAUGCCGGGCCGGUCGAUUACCGGCAGCAGAUGAGACGAUAUAUCAUACAUCUGUGGGACAGUA